rnacentral:piRNA from 1 species
CAAAAGAACAAAAAGAAAAAAGCCCUG